rnacentral:lncRNA from 1 species
UUUUUGGCCACUGGGUCAUCUGGCUGUGCAGUGAGCCGUAGUGCAGAUGAACAGUUCCCCAUGGGGCUCCACUGACCCACAGUGGGGCUGAGGUCAGGUGUGAUCUGCCCACGGAAAGGCCAGUGUGUGCGUGCGUGCAUGCGUGUGUGUGUGUUUGCACGCACAUCGGGGGAGACAGGAUACAUAGAUGUAGACAUUUAAUUUCUGCUAACAUAGCCACAGGCCCUGUCAAGGGACUAUCACAUCCAUCCCAAAAUGAGCAAUAAGAGGGAUUGUUUUCUGAGUGAAGUGCCUGGGGCAAAGUCAUUUAAUUAAAAAAUGCUGCAAUUUAAGAUGCAGGCAGGAGGCUGAGGGGGAUUUCCAGCUGAGGUGGGGACCCUGCCAUCAGCCCCCAGGCUGAUAGAGAUGGUGCCGGGAUUCACAGGCUCACCUCCGUGUGGGUCCCAGAGCCCUGGGUCUGAUGGCCAUGAGUGGGGAGCAGGGACAGGGAGGGAGCCAGACAGAGGCCUGUGCAGCGAGGCAAUGUGCACAUCUAGCCACAGUCACAGAGACAGGAGAGGACGGCCGCGCCGACAAGAAAGAGAGCACAGGGGACCAGGGACACCACAAAGAACUGGGGCACAGGAUUGAAGGAAAGUUUUCCUUGCUGGGAUGAGGGAUCAGAAAAGGAUCCUGCUGCAUGAUGGAUCAGAAGAAGACCCUGAGGGCUUCACCUGUCUGCCUGUGGAGACUGCUUAGCUCCAGCAGGUCACCCUAGCGGGCCCACCCCGCCCACCAUGACCCCCGUGACAGCACCCUGUCCCCAGGAAGGUUGCCGCCCGCCACCCGGCUUCACCUGCACACAUCCAGUGUCUCCACUGCACGCCUCCCUGCAGCCUGCCCAGGCCUGGCAGCGCCCACGGCUCCAGCUUCAGCUCUACUGGGAGUCAGCUGGAAGCGGGGUUCUACUGGAGAGAAAGUGAUCUGCAACACACGGGGAGUCAAGCUUCUGAAAAGUCCACCUGCAGAGGCGAUUCGGGCCUGUCAGUCUCCCGGGCCCCCUCACAGAGCCUGGCGCAGGACCACCCAGGCGUCAGCCUCCUGCUGUGCUCCAGCCCACACCAGCCCAGGAACUGCGACACAGUCGGAGCAGCCUGGCUGAGAGUGCAGGCCAGAGGCAUGUAGACCACAGCCGUGAGCGUGGCUGUGCACGGUGAGCCAGAUCCAAACAUUAGUGUCGCCACACGGAGCUCUCCUGUCUUCCUCCACUUCCUUCAAUUUACCCCAUCUGGCAGCACCAGGCUGUAUGCCCACAUCAGAUCAAAAUCCAUUUGCGUCCCCUGGAGGGGAGGGGAGGAGGGGAGCGAGCACUCACUGACCAGGGUGCAUUGCUUCUGGGCACCACUUCCGUUCCCAACCCUGAAGGACAAGCAGGGUGGGGUCCCUGGAUCGCCCUCCCUCUGCAGAGCCUGGAAACACCGAGUGCCUCUGGCUGGUUUCUGUUGCUGUAACUGCUCUUCGGAGCUGGUGACUUAUAAACAACAGAAGCUCAUGUGGCCGGGGUUGGGGGGCGGUGGGGGGGUGCACUGGAGUCCAUGCCUGAGGGCCUGCUCGAGGUUCGGGCCUCUGUGCGGUGCCAGCCUCCGCAGGGGUGGAAGGGCAGGAAGACCUGCAGGGCGAGGCUGCCCUCUCAGCUCCAGCCCAUCGUGGUCAGCAUCGAAGACGUCCUGCCCCAGCUCUCCCACCCACCCUCCCAGCCCAUGCUCUUGGGGACCCGGGACCCCGAAGCGUGCCCCUGAGCCC